UUGAACGCUGGCGGCAGGCCUAACACCUGCAAGUCGAGCGGAUGAAGGGAGCUUGCUCCUGGAUUCAGCGGCGGACGGGUGAGUAAUGCCUAGGAAUCUGCCUGGUAGUGGGGGAUAACGUCCGGAAACGGGCGCUAAUACCGCGUACGUCCUGAGGGAGAAAGUGGGGGAUCUUCGGACCUCACGCUAUCAGAUGAGCCUAGGUCGGAUUAGCUAGUUGGUGGGGUAAAGGCCUACCAAGGCGACGAUCCGUAACUGGUCUGAGAGGAUGAUCAGUCACACUGGAACUGAGACACGGUCCAGACUCCUACGGGAGGCAGCAGUGGGGAAUAUUGGACAAUGGGCGAAAGCCUGAUCCAGCCAUGCCGCGUGUGUGAAGAAGGUCUUCGGAUUGUAAAGCACUUUAAGUUGGGAGGAAGGGCAGUAAGUUAAUACCUUGCUGUUUUGACGUUACCAACAGAAUAAGCACCGGCUAACUUCGUG
rnacentral:rRNA from 1 species